GAUGAACGCUAGCUACAUGCUUAACACAUGCAAGUCGAGGGACCGGCGCACGGGUGAGUAACACGUAUCCAACCUGCCCUUUACUCGGGGAUAGCCUUUCGAAAGACAGAUUAAUACCCGAUAUAAAGGAUGGGGAUGCGUUCAAUUAGGUUGUUGUUGAGGUAACGGCUCACCAAGACUCCGAUGGAUAGUGGUACUGAGAGGAAGGACACCGACAUUGAAACUUGGACCCGGUCCAAACGCGUACGGGCGGCAGAAGUGAGGAAGAUUUGUAAAGGGGCGUGAGCCUGAACCAGCCAAGUAGCGUGAAGGAUGAAGGCUUAUGGGUCGUAAACUUCUUAUAUAUAAGAAUAUGUAUUAUAUGAAUAAGGAUCGGCUAACUCCGUGCCAGCAGCCGCGGUAAUUC
rnacentral:rRNA from 1 species